rnacentral:rRNA from 1 species
UUCGACCUGAAUCUGACGUGAUUACCCGCUGAACUUAAGCAUAUCAGUAAGCGGAGGAAAAGAAACUAACAAGGAUUC